UACGGAGGGGCUAGCGUUGUUCGGAAUUACUGGGCGUAAAGCGCACGUAGGCGGCUUUGUAAGUUAGAGGUGAAAGCCCGGGGCUCAACUCCGGAAUUGCCUUUAAGACUGCAUCGCUAGAAUUGUGGAGAGGUAAGUGGAAUUCCGAGUGUAGAGGUGAAAUUCGUAGAUAUUCGGAAGAACACCAGUGGCGAAGGCGACUUACUGGACACAUAUUGACGCUGAGGUGCGAAAGCGUGGGGAGCAACAGG
rnacentral:rRNA from 1 species